rnacentral:miRNA from 1 species
ACCUGGAUGCCUUUUCUGCAGGGCUCUGUGUGAUAUGUUUGAUAUAUUAGGUUGUUAUUUAAUCCAACUAUAUAUCAAACAUAUUCCUAUAGUGUCCUGCCCUGUCUCCGGGGGUUUAUAAAGUAGUAUAAGGCAAUAUGAAGGAAU